CAACUUUUACUCUCUCAAAACUCUUCUCCUUUCUCUUUCUCUCUCUUAUUUUCGGCAGCCACAAGCAAGGAAAAAGGGAAGAAAAAUCAAUAUACACACUUAUUAAUAAUAAGGGUUUUAAGUUAGAUUAUUAAAUGGUUAAUUCAAGCAAGGUUUAAGGGUUGUUUUAAGGUUAGAAUAAGGGUUAUUUGGAGCUUCAAGGGGUCACGAAAAUCUGCCAUCUUUUCAUCCACAAAACCGAGUUCAAGAGGGCUUGUUCGGGGAGCAACACAACUAGGACAAGGAAUCACAUUUGAUCAGCCCCUAACACACUCAAUACAAGUUUAGAGCAGUAAGUUAGCACUAUGGACCGCCUCUUGGAUGUUGUGUUUGCUUGUUACGUGUUGGACUAGUAAUGCAAACAUUUGAUCUUUUGUUAUGAAUUUGGUUAUGUAAUGGUUUCUAAACGUCAAC